rnacentral:misc_RNA from 1 species
CGAAAUGCGAUAAGUAGUGUGAAUUGCAGAAUUCAGUGAAUCAUCGAAUCUUUGAACGCACAUUGCGCCCUUUGGUAUUCCUUAGGGCAUGCCUGUUCGAGCGUCAUCUAAACCUUCAAGCCCUGCUUGGUGUUGGGUGCCUGUCCCGCCUCCGCGCGCGGACUCACCUCAAAUCCAUUGGCGGCCCCCGCGUCGGCCACGAGCGCAGCAGAAACGCGAACUCGUGAGCCCGUCCGGGCGGCUCCCAGAAGCUACACCCACCCAGUUUGACCUCGGAUCAGGUAGGGAUACCCGCUGAACUUAAGC